rnacentral:rRNA from 1 species
AGAGUUUGAUCAUGGCUCAGGACGAACGCUGGCGGCGCGCUUAACACAUGCAAGUCGAGCGAGAACCGGGACUUCGGUCCCGGGGACAGCGGCGAACGGGUGAGUAACACGUGGGUAAUCUGCCCUCGAUUCUGGGAUAGCCCGGGGAAACCCGGAUUAAUACCGGAUAGCCUUUCGAGCCUUCGGGCGCGGAAGAAAAGGUAGCUUCGGCCUCCGAUCGAGGAUGAGCCCGCGGUGGAUUAGCUUGUUGGUGGGGUAAUGGCCCACCAAGGCGACGAUCCAUAGCUGGUCUGAGAGGACGAUCAGCCACACUGGGACUGAGACACGGCCCAGACUCCUACGGGAGGCAGCAGUGGGGAAUCUUGCGCAAUGGGCGAAAGCCUGACGCAGCGACGCCGCGUGGGGGAAGAAGGCCUUAGGGUUGUAAACCUCUUUCAGGUGGGACGAAGCCACUCGGGUUAAUAGCCCAGAGGGUGACGGUACCGCCAGAAGAAGCCCCGGCUAACUACGUGCCAGCAGCCGCGGUA